CCGGGGUGCGAGUGGGGGGUGGGGAGGUCCAGCCAGGGGAUGAAAUGGGGCUGGAAGGAGAGAGAAGCCCAGAGCAGCGAGCCUGGAGCCGCUGGAAGGAAAGGCAGGAGCAGACUUCAUCCCUGCUCCAAGAAGAGAGGCGGACUGGGCGAAAACUGUCAUGAUUCUCUAUGUACAUACUGAAAAUGGAACCAGGUGUAGCAUAACAACAGAUACCAAUCACCAAGCAAUAAUACCAAGAAGGAGAACUGCAGAUUACCCCCAGAGAAUUUAAUGUGUGAUUGUGGAAGAAAACCUUCUGUAGUCUAAUAACGUGAGAAUGUUUUGCAUCCAUGUAACCCAUGUAUAUCUACAUUUUGGAGAAUUACAGUAGGUGUUAAUACAUGGGAGGAGGGGGUGGCUGUCUCUGUGAAGUCCAGGAUUG